CAUGCAAGUCGACGAUGAUUAUCUAGCUUGNUAGAUAUGAUUAGUGGCGGACGGGUGAUUUACAUUUAGGAAUCUGCCUAGUAGUGGGGGAUAGCUCGGGGAAGGUCGAAUUAAUACCGCAUACGACCUACGGGUGAAAGGGGGCGCAAGCUCUUGCUAUUAGAUGAGCCUAAAUCAGAUUAGCUAGUUGGUGGGGUAAAGGCCCACCAAGGCGACGAUCUGUAACUGGUCUGAGAGGAUGAUCAGUCACACCGGAACUGAGACACGGUCCGGACUCCUACGGGAGGUAGCAGUGGGGAAUAUUGGACAAUGGGGGCAACCCUGAUCCAGCCCUGCCGUGUGUGUGAAGAAGGCCUUUUGGUUGUAAAGCACUUUAAGUACGGAGGAGAGGCUAAUGGUUAAUACCCAUUCGAUUAGACGUUACUUGCAAAAUACGUACCGGCUUACUCUGUGCCCUGUCCCCGCGGUAAUACAGAGGGUGCCAGCGUUAAUCGGAAAUUAUUGGGCGUAAAAGCGAGUGUAGGUGGCUCAUUUAAGUCAUAUCGUGAAAUCCCCCGGGGCUUAACCUGUGAACUGCUGUGAUACUGGGGGUGCUAGAUAUGUGAGAGGGGANUAGAAUUCCACGUGUAGCGGUGAAAUGCGUAAAGAUCUGGAAGAAUACCG
rnacentral:rRNA from 1 species